AACCUAAACCUUCGUAUUUUACGGAGGCAUGGCUCUAAACCUCAACAAAGGUACUGAACACCACGUUCAGCGAUUCUUUGUUGAGUCAUGUCUCGAAAGGGGCAUGGGGUCGCAAGACCC
rnacentral:sRNA from 1 species